GCUAUUUUUGGCAUGCAAGAGUGAGCCCUCGCCCACCACAAAUCUGUCUACCUGGUCUAGGAGGCUCACUUCCAGCUGCAGUGUCAACAUACCGAGAGAGGGAGAGUGACUUAAGAAGUUGGUGGGGAGCUUGGAACUGAAUCAACGUCUCCAGCUAGCACCCUGCACCUUUCUGCAGCCUUUUUCAGGAUACUUCCAGGACCCCUUGCAGAACCCCCAUUAAGUAUUGAAAUAAUUAGAAAAUUAAUACACAAAAAAUCUUCGCUGUGAAGCAUUUAGAAUCGCUACAUGCACAAACCCACAAAAAAAGCAGGUAAGUGAAACGUGAAGCCAUCUAAUAGUACAUACUAUGUAGGCCACUGUCACAGAUCCGAUACGGCACCCCCUCCAGGCCACCCAG
rnacentral:lncRNA from 1 species